CGUUAAGAAGCUAUGAAACAGCACUAGCCUUUUAAGCUAGAGACAGAGGAUAUUCCCUCCUUAACGA
rnacentral:tRNA from 1 species